UGCGUAGGCGGUCCAAUAAGUCAGUCGUGAAAUCGCUGGGCUCAACCCAUGCAAUUGCGAUUGAUACUGUUAGACUUGAAUGGGGUUGAGGCUGGCGGAAUGCGACAUGUAGCGGUGAAAUGCUUAGAUAUGUCGCAGAACACCGAUUGCGAAGGCAGCCAGCUGGGCCUUUAUUGACGCUGAGGCACGAAAGCGUGGGGAGCAAACAGGAUUAGAUACCCUGGUAGUCCACGCCCUAAACGAUGCUCACUUGCUGUUCCCCUUUCGGGGGGAGUGGCGUAGGGAAACCGGUAAGUGAGCCACCUGGGGAGUACGCCCGCAAGGGUGAA
rnacentral:rRNA from 1 species